CUUAGGUACGAGUUGACUGGAAACCGUUGGAAUAAUCUCCCCUUCUGAUCGCCCACGAGCUUUUAAACGGUUGAGAUCCGGUGCCCAAGACAGGAGAAAAGUGAACCUUAUUGCUGGGGACUCCAAUGUUCAUCGGAUUAAGGAUAUUCUUCCUGACGAUAUAGCUGUCAAAUACCUGCCAAUCUCUGGUGCCAAAUUUUCUUGUGAUCGUUUUCGCCAUGCAUUGUUGAGAGACUUGCGGAAGAUGGAUGUUCAACAGCUGUAUCUUCAUCUAGGCUCAAAUGACAUUCUUACGAAUGAAGCGGUGUUUUACCGAUAAACCUCACAAUCCUAUGAUCAACGCAGGAGCCAUCGCAGUCUGUUCUCUCUUAAAGCAGGGCGUCAACUUGGCCGACCGAUUUGAUUAUGUAAGCUUUAUUGUUUGUAGGAUCUGAAUAUUAUUGCAAAUAAUUAAGCAUUACUCUGUAAAAACAGGGCUUAAUGCAUUGGCGUAAAAUGUUGUCCCAGAUUAGCCUGUGCAGUCUGCACAGGCUUAUCAAUAACGACUCUUUCCAUCUAAACUGGAUUUUUGUUCAGAAGAGACUUUCAUUAAACGAAAAACUUUAUAAAAGCAAAAAGUGUUGUCCAUUUAUUAGAUUGUGUGGACUGCCUCUACAUGUGCGGAUUGUCUCUUUAUUUGUAAAUACUUAUGUUACGACGGUGUUGACGUGCGCCGUCAGGCGUCCGCUGUCCGCAUUGUGCUUAAAACUUACCUUUGCCUCUAAAAUCAAAGUGCUUCCACCUACAACUUUGAAACUUCAUAUGAUG